CAACAUCAAAAUAAAAAAAAAAAACCCACAAAAACAAAUAAUAAUACAAGCAAUCAAAAUGCUACACGUACAUCCCAAAUAGGGGUGUACAGCUUACACUCUUGCAUCUAAGGAUUUAUAAAACUCUUUUAAAUUUUUAGCAAAAUAACAAUAAUAAUAAGACUAGCGGAUGAAUCCUAGCCAUUGAAACCCCAGGGUGCACAUCUUACACCUAAGUUAUAGGUGUACAUGUAGCAUUACUCUUUACAAAAUAUAUUUAAUUAGGUUUUUGCAUUUGACUACCUAUUGGAAUCUGGGUUUGGGCCACUUGGAACUUCAUGCUUGCUUGCAUUGAACUUGGUUGAAGAGUUUGAUACCUUCUUUGGAGCCAACUUCAUGGAUUGUGAUGUAGAAGAUGAAGAAGAAGAAGAAGAAGAAGAUGAUGAUGAUGAUGAUGAUGAUGGAGUUGAGAACACAAGUUGUUGGGAUUUAUGAGCAAAUGGGAGCAAAAUGAGGCAAAGGAGAACACCAUGAAGCAGCACAUUUGCCAUGAACUCUAUUUUGUAGUGCAAAAGGGUUUAGUCAAUGUCCAUGAAAGAGUAUUGAGGAGAAAAGAGGGGUUGCUUGGGAAAAAUGUUAGGGCACAUGAUAUUGGAUAGGGGAGAGGUAAAAGGCCAAUACUUUGAUGACUAGGGUGUUGUCAUGUGGUAAAGAGGACAUUGAAUAGGGGUGGAGGAAGUUACAUGAGUGCCCUCCCAUUGGAUAGGAGCUUGGUUGUUAAGGCUCAUUAAUUAUGUCCACAUUAAUUUGUACUCUUUCAUGGAUUGGUGGUGUAGUAAUUGUGAGAGAGAUUUUUUUGGGGUAAAACAUGGUGAAACCCUCACUACCAUUGGAAUUUC
rnacentral:lncRNA from 1 species